rnacentral:rRNA from 1 species
GAUAAUUGGUUAAGAGACUUAAAAAUUUACACAAAGCAUUUAGUAAGAACCUUGGCAAAUGAUUUUGGGCGUUACGUUACGAAAAUUAUAAGGAGGCUUAGGCCUGUGAUUUGUAAGUUCCCUUGAAAUAUAUUAAAGUAGACUUAAUAAAAUUUAUUUCGAAAAUUAACGUGAAUUGAAUCAUCUUAGUAACGUUAAAAAAAUCAAAAGAGAUGUUGUAAGUAGUAGUGAACGAAAGCAAUUUAAAGCUUAUUAAAAAUCUGACUUAUAAUUUCAUAGAAGGUACUAAUCCUGUAAUAAUGUUAAGAUUUAAAAGUAAAAUAUAAGUAAUAUGAAUUCAAAUUUGUAUGAAUAAAGGAGAACCUCCUUCUAAGCUUAAAAAAUUUUUUGACCAAUAGUGAAUGAGUACUGUGAAAAAAAGGUAAAAAUUUUCGAUAAGAAUUUUUCAAGCUAAAUGUUUAUAAUUUUUCGAAGCUUAUUACGACGAAAUGCCUUUUGCAUAAUGAGUCAGCAAGUUAAUAUAUAUUGCAAGCUUAAAUAAAAUAAUAUAUCUAAGCAAUUAAAGUAAUAUGUAUUAAACCUGAAACCAAGUGAUCUAAUCAUAAACAAGUUGAGAAUUCUUUAAACCGUUUUUGAAGACUGUACUCGUAUAUGUAGCAAAAUAUAGAGAUGAUUUGUGGUUAGGGGUGAAAAGCUAAUCAAACUUGGCGAUAGCCGGUUUUUUACGAAACGUAUUUUAGUACUACGUUAAUCAACUAAAAACUUGAGUUAGAGUACAAAAUAAGUAAAGGGGUGUAAAAGCUUACUAAAUUUUUUUAACUCCGAAUUAAAGUAUUAACAAGAUUAACAGACAGUCUUUAAGCGAGAAGGUUUAAGGACGAGAGGAAAACAAUCCAGACUGAAUAUUAAGAUUUCUAAAUUAUAACUUAGGGAAAAAAUUUAGAAGAGUCCAAAUAAUAGAACUAAUAGGCUUAGAAGCAGCCUUUUAUUAGAGAAAGCGUUUCAGCUCGCUAUUCUUCUCUUCAUGAUUUAAAAUUCAUAGAAUCUUUAAGUUAUAUAUCGAGAUAACAGACUAGUAAGAAUCUAGUGGUAGUAAAACGUUCUGUGAUUAUUCUAUAAAUUGUAAAAUUUUGGAAGGUUAAACAGAAAUGCUAAUGCUGACAUGAGUAGCGAAAAUCACGUUAAAAAAUCGUGAUCAUUUUGUGUUCAAGGGUUUCAAGGUAAUUUUAAAUACAUUGAGUUAGUCGGUCCUUAAGAGAAGAAUAAGUAUUGUACUUGAUAGGAAAUUAUUUUAGGAUACUUUUUAUAUGUGGUGAAACCAUGAAAUGAAUUAUCUAGAUAAAUUUUUGUUAAAUAAGACUUAAAAUUAUCUAUGAUUAAUUUUCGAGAAAAGAUUAUAAUCAAUUAAACCGUACUUAAACCGACACAGGUGAGCAUAUAUUGUAUGAAAAAAUUAUAUUGAAGGAACUCGGCAAAUUAACUCUGUACGUUCGCAAUAAAGAGAACCUGAAAAGAUAAGGUAAUAUAAAAACAAGAAGUAACGACUGGUUAUCAAAACCAUAGGACUCUGCAAAUUUACAAAAAGUAUAGAGUUUGACGUCUGCCCAGUGCUUAAAAAUAAAAAGUUUUGUACAUAAAAGCUAAACUUUGAAAUCUAAGUAAACGGCGGUCCUAACUAUAAGGAUCCUUAGGUAGCGAAACUCCUUGACGGGUAAGUUCCGUCCUGCAUGAAUGACGUAACGAUUGCUUCACUGUCUCCAAUAUAAAUUCAGCGAAAUUACAUUAUCUAUGAAAAUGUAGAUUACUUGCAGUAAGACGGAAAGACCCUAGAUCCUUUACUUUAUUUUUAAAUUGUGAAGAAUUGUUUAUCGUAUUAGAAUAAGUGGAAGUAAAAAAAUAAUUUACGAUUUAUGAAAUACCACUCGAUACUCUUAGUUUUUUACUUGAUUUGUAUAAAAAUGUACAAAGACCGUUUAAGAUUGGAAGUUUACUUGGGACGAGUACCUCCUAAAAGGUAACGGAGGUGUACAAAGGUAAGUAGCAAUUAUUUAAUUAAAUAAUGAAGAGUACAAUGAUAAAAACUUGCUUGACAAUAAGAUUUAUAAAUCAAAUUGAGACGAAAGUCAGUCAUAGUGACCCGAUAUACAAGAGAGGAAUUUAUUAUCGUUCAACAGAUAAAAGGAACUCUAGGGAUAACAGAUUCAUCGUGAUUGAAAGUUCAUAUUAAUGUCACGGUUUGAUACCUCGAUGUCGACUCAUCUUAUCCUGAAAUUGAAGCAGAUUUCAAGGGUCUAGUUGUUCGCUAGUAAAAAAGGUACGUGAGUUGGGUUCAGAACGUCGUGAGACAGUUCGGUCCCUAUCUACUGCAAGACCGAAAAAUAAGAAGUAUAUUUCUAGUACGAGAGGAUCGAAAUAUAUUAACCUAUGGUUUACUGAUUAUUAUGUCCAUAAUAUUGUCAUACAGCUAAGUUAAUUAUGGAUAAAUACUGAAUGCAUCAAAAUGUAUUAAACCUUCUUCGCCUUUUUCAAGAAUAAUCUAAAAGAUUAUUAGAUAGAUCGAUUUAAAAAAGUUAUUUAGUAAUAUAUUUACUUUGUAAAUACGAAUUAUUCAACAAAAUUUUAAUUUAACUU